rnacentral:lncRNA from 1 species
UGGGGACGAAGUUUGUUUAAAUUAAUUUUUUUGUAACUUAAAUAUUUGUUAAAAUAAGAAACGGAAAUACCGUAACGUUUCCGAUUUUGGUUCUGUUGUUAGGGAUUUUACUUGUGACGUUAUCUAAGUUAUGACGUCAUGCUCAAUGUAAACAAAGAAACGCAAUGCAUCAGGUAACGUUUAUUCAUACCAAAGACAAAG